GGCAGAGGCUGGGCCGUGCGGUUCGCGGGCGUGGAAAAACGUUGGCGUUGAGGGGGUGUCCGCCGCCGCCGCUCUCAACUGACCGUGGUGUGCGGGGAUGUGGCUAGCCUCUGGCUGCUGCUGUGAGGAGGCGUGAUUAGCCAGCUCGGCCCACACGGACAGGGCUCGCCUUGGGUGGGCUGGCCUGGCCUCUGACAGAGCCUCCCAUCGCCGGGGGAGUGGGGCCUCCAGCUGACCGACAGUGGGUGACGGGGUAAGGAGGCCGCUGAGAAGGGUGACCUGAACUUGGUGUCUUACUGACUGGAGCAGAGCCAGUUGGUCAGAGGUGACCUGACUUCUGACUGAGGUGGGGAAGAGACCCCGCUUGUUUGAUAGUGCAGGUAGAUCCAUCCAUAGGAUAAACCCCCACAAGUGGAAUUAUUGGAUCAGAUCUGUGUUUUUAUUGUUAUUUUGGCAAAUGGCGCCAAAUUAUCCUAAUUUGUACCAAUUUGAAGUUUCACCAACAACAUGUGUCUCAGAAAUUUAAACUGUCAGAUGUAAGAGUUACUGAGUUGCUAGUUGACUGAAAUGCCAAAAAGGCACACGGUAGAGCUAUGAGGUCUCAGAGUGCAUGUAUGCUCUUAUGCUGUGAACGAGCAGAAGUUAUAAGGAUAAAACUAUGUCCCCACAUCGGGAAAUGUUGUGUCUUCCAGGUACAUCUAACAAUCUUCCACUGUUGAGGGAUCCAGAGGAGCUUCUUGAGAAAUGCCAGCCACCUGCUGAGCUGCAAAGGACUUACAAACACAGAGAAUUUAACAUAAUUCAAGGAGGAAGGGAAUACAGGAAGCUCUCAUCUUAGUGCCCUCUGUCCUUCCAGCCCUUUCCUCCUUAAUCCUGCCUAAAACUUGGGAAGCACAGAGUUGCUGACUGCAUUGUCUGGAGAAUUUCUGAAGACCACAUUGCCAACCAAGUGGGAUGAAUACUGGCCCUGGAGUUACUUUCCUUAACUGUAAAAUGAUCCUUUGUUUGGCAUGCUGGGAAAGCAUUCUGACUUUGAAGCCUGUGUGUCUUUAUCAACGUAUUGCUGUUCUCCAUUCAGAGCUAAGUUCUGAGUUAUUCUGUGCCUUGAGGUUGCUGGGGCAGAACCAGAGCACAAUGGAGGCUGAAGUUUCUCUCUGGCUCAGGCCACAGAAGAGCCAGCCACAUCAUUUGCCCUCAUGGUUCCUCAUCCUUAGAUGCUGCUUCAUUCCUUUUGGGAGCUUGGGGUUUAUCACGACUGGCUCUAGGAAUGUCCCUGAAAUUCUUUUUGUUGCUACAUCUGUGAGUGCUGGAUUUGUUUCCCAUACACUGUGGCCAGUGGCUUAGGGGAGUUUGUAUUCACUGCUGGAUGAGGUAUGCUAGAAUUUUCCGCUGGAACCAUGAGCCUCAUCCUUACCAGGGCACUGCCAUGAUUACCUCUCCAGGCUUAUCUGGAGGCAGAAACUUCUGCUGCCAUGUUGUGGAUGAAAGCUGGGGCACCGCCUCUGUUCACUGCUCCCAGGCUCUCUUACUUCCCUGUGUCCACGGCUCUGAGCUUGGAGAGCCCUGAGGUUGCUUUUACUCUUCAUUUUUGCUCUCUCCUCUGAAUAUUUUGGGUAAUGAUUUUUCUUCAACCUGACGACAUCUGGCUUCCAAGUCUGGCUAAUCGAAGACAUCAUGGCUUGAACCUCUGUCUUGAAUUACUCACUGUGGGAGAAAGCAGCUCUGAGUGGGUCAUCUUG
rnacentral:lncRNA from 1 species